AGUCAGAGCAUCAAUACCUUGGCUCUAGACUGCUUACUGCCAAACCUGACCAGAAGUACAGUAACAGUCUACAGUCAUGGCUACUGACGCCUGGC
rnacentral:pre_miRNA from 14 species